rnacentral:rRNA from 1 species
CGCCGAUUAAAGUGGUACGCGAGCUGGGUUCAGAACGUCGUGAGACAGUUCGGUCCUCUAUCCGCUGUGGGCGUUUGUGAUUUGAGGGGUUCAUUCUCUAGUACGAGAGGACCGAGAAUGACGAACCUCUGGUGUUCCGGUUGUCGCGUCAGCGGCAGCGCCGGGUAGCUAUGUUCGGCAAGGAUAAGCGCUGAAAGCAUCUAAGCGCCAAGCCUAUCCCAAGAUAAGAUCACAAUAUAUCGCAAGAUAUUAUAAGGUCCGAAUAGACCAUUCGGUUGAUAGGCUAUAAGUGUAAUCACAGUAAUGUGUUGAGCUUAAUAGUACUAAUUUCC